rnacentral:rRNA from 1 species
UGGGGAAUAUUGGACAAUGGGCGCAAGCCUGAUCCAGCCAUGCCGCGUGUUUGAAGAAGGCCUUUUGGUUGUAAAGCACUUUAAGCGAGGAGGAGGCUACUUGGAUUAAUACUCUAGGAUAGUGGACGUUACUCGCAGAAUAAGCACCGGCUAACUCUGUGCCAGCAGCCGCGGUAAUACAGAGGGUGCGAGCGUUAAUCGGAUUUACUGGGCGUAAAGCGUGCGUAGGCGGCUUUUUAAGUCGGAUGUGAAAUCCCUGGGCUUAACUUAGGAAUUGCAUUCGAUACUGGGAAGCUAGAGUAUGGGAGAGGAUGGUAGAAUUCCAGGUGUAGCGGUGAAAUGCGUAGAGAUCUGGAGGAAUACCGAUGGCGAAGGCAGCCAUCUGGCCUAAUACUGACGCUGAGGUACGAAAGCAUGGGGAGCAAACAGG